GAUGAACGCUGUCGGCGUGCCUAAUACAUUCAAGUUGAGCGAACAGACGAGGAGCUUUCUCCUCUGACUUUAUCGGCGGACGUGUGAGUAACACUUGGAUAACCUACCUAUAAGACUGGGAUAACUUCGGGAAACCGGCGCUACUACCGGAUAAUAUAUUGAACCGCAUGGUUCAAUAGUGAAAGACGGUUUUGCUGUCACUUAUAGAUUGAUCCGCGCCGCAUUAGCUAGUUGGUAAGGUAACGGCUUACCAAGGCAACGAUGCGUAGCCGACCUGAGAGGGUGAUCGGCCACACUGGAACUGAGACACGGUCCAGACUACGACGGGAGGCAGCAGUAGGGAAUCUUCCGAAAUGGGCGAAAGCCUGACGGAGCAACGCAGCGUGAGUGAUGAAGGUCUUCGGAUCGUAAAACUCUGUUAUUAGGGAAGAACAAAUGUGUAAGUAACUAUGCACGUCUUGACGGUACCUAAUCAGAAAGCCACGGCUAAAUACGUG
rnacentral:rRNA from 1 species